AAUCAACGCUGGCGGCGUGCCUAAUACAUGCAAGUCGUGCGGCAGCGAGCCCUUCGGGGUGUCGGCGAGCGGCGGACGGCUGAGUAACACGUAGGAACAUACCCCAAAGUGAGGGAUAACUGCUCGAAAGAGUAGCUAAUACCGCAUGUGGUCUAAGGAUUAAAGCUUCGGCGCUUUGGGAAUGGCCUGCGUUCGAUUAGCUAGAUGGUGAGGUAAAGGCUCACCAUGGCGACGAUCGAUAGCUGGUCUGAGAGGAUGAUCAGCCAGACUGGGACUGAGACACGGCCCAGACUCCUACGGGAGGCAGCAGUAGGGAAUUUUCCACAAUGGGCGAAAGCCUGAUGGAGCAACGCCGCGUGCAGGAUGAAUGCCUUAGGGUUGUAAACUGCUUUUAUAUGUGACGAUUAUGACGGUAGCAUAUGAAUAAGGAUCGGCUAACUCCGUGCCAGCCGCCGCUGUAAGAC
rnacentral:rRNA from 1 species